AAGUGACCAUGUGUUCCCCACCUCAAGGAUAUGGUGGGGCUGGACAAAACUAAACCAUCCGACCCAAACCGCCCGGCCCAUGCUAUCCGAAUGGGUUCGGUCGGGUCAAAAUCGGGUCCACGGGUCUGUCGGAUGGUUCAAGCGGUUUACUUUGGAUAGUGACGGUUCGGUUCGGAUGGUCUAAUUCAACUCAAAAUAAACCGAAUCCGACCGAGCCAGGUAUCUAUUUGUAACAGUGGCCCAAUAACUAAACUUCAACCCAAAUAAAUACCUCAUUAUCUCUUUCAAGUGAAAACCUAACCCUAAUUUGCUCUCUCACUUCACCUUGCGCCGUUUCACUCUAAACUCACUUCUACCCUCAACCUCUCACAGAUCUCAGUCUCUCAUUUCCUCUUAUACCUCCUUCUUCCAUUCUAUGUUCAUCACCAUUCAAUUAUUCACUCAUAUCUAUUUAUCAGUCUACAUCAGAUUUGAUGAUGUAAUAUGUAGAUUCACAUGCUUAAUUGCUGGAACAAGUGAUGUGGUUGCUCAAAGAUGACCAAGACCCAUGGAGUGAAGAUUGACUUCAUUUGUAAUACAAGAACAAGGGCUUGUAAUUUUUAAAGUUUUAGAUCUGAGAUGCUUUAGAUGUAUAAGCUUGAGAUAUGUAACUAAUGCUUUAGAUCUGAGAUGCUUUAUAUAUUAUAUUAUAUGAUUGAUUUGUGUUUCA